rnacentral:lncRNA from 1 species
ACUCUAAUAGUUUAGGGACAAUUUUGACCCUUUUCUGUUUUAUAAGAUGACAAUUAUCGUAGUCCUCUUAUAUGUAUGUUUUUAACAUUAAUUUUUCACCAUGUUAUUCCAUUUCUUAAAAUUAGCCAAUUAUUCUAGUCCACUAUUUCAAUCAACUAUUCCAGUCAUAAGCAUAUACCGUAAGAAGUCUUCAUGUCCAUAAGGUUAAUUGAAAGAAUCAAAUUUCUUGUCAAACCAUUGCUUGGAGUAUAUUGCCAGGUCCUUUAGUUUGUUCUAUUUUACAAAUUAGAUAGGCAAUUUGCAACUAAGGAAAUUACAAUACACUAUAUAAAAUAGAAGAUUAUAGUUUUUUUAAAUAAGUAGAUAUUGCAUGAUUUACUGAUUUCAUAUGCACCAAAAUCAAUCGUUCAUUUUUCUUUCUUCGGAUUGAAAUUGUUUAACCAAAAAAUAUAAUUUGGUCAAAGUUUGAAUUUAAAGAAAAGAAGUCGGGUUACUGUUAAUCUAGAGACCAAAAUAAAAGGCUUUCAGAGAAUAAGCAUAAAGCAAUAAGAAUUUGUUAUUUCAGUAAUGAUGUCAAGAAUGUUCUGUGUGUCUACAAAUGAUG